AGAUGAGCUGUGGGCAUGAAAUUAUAUCAAACCUAUUGGGUUCCGAUCAUGCAGUGAAAAAUAAUUUUUAAAAUUUUUUAAAACACUCAAAUCAAUUUCUAUAUCAAAUAAAACUAUCGAGCUGAACCCAAAAUCUUAGAAUCACCUUACCGAACAUGAUCAAAGUAAAUUCAAGCAUGCAAAGAGAUAGAAUAUUAUAAUUUUAACUAAAAUAAAAAAGUGGCAUAUUGGCAUCCUCCACA
rnacentral:lncRNA from 1 species